CAGUGAAAGAAGAGGAAGAAGCGUUAAGAGUGAAAAGAGAAGAGAAUAUUACCGUGAAAGAAGAGGAUGCCGUUUUUGGAGCGAAGAGGGAGGGAGAGAUAACUGUCACAUUGAAGGAGGAGGAGGAAGAGACUGAAGGUCUAAUUAACACCAGAGAGAGACCAGACUCUCACUCUGACAGCGGGAAGAGUCCUUCAGAGGAACCAGACCCAGAGACGGCCAAACCAGAGAGACGACAUCAGUGCUCCCACUGUGAAAAGAGUUUUACUCAUUUAGGGGCCCUGGUUGGGCAUGAGAGAACACACACAGGAGAGAAGCCUUAUCACUGUUCCCACUGUGGAAAGAGUUUUACUCAUUUAGGGAGUGUGAAAAUGCACGAGAGAAUACAUACAGGAGAAAGGCCUUACCACUGCUCCCACUGUGGAAAGAGUUUUACUCAGUUAGGGGCCCUGGUUGGGCAUGAGAGAACACACACAGGAGAGAAGCCUUAUCACUGUUCCCACUGUGGAAAGAGUUUUACUCAUUUAGGGAGUGUGAAAAUGCACGAGA